GACGGAGGAUGCAAGCGUUAUCCGGAAUGAUUGGGCGUAAAGCGUCCGCAGGUGGCAGUUCAAGUCUGCUGUCAAAGACCGGGGCUUAACUUCGGAAAGGCAGUGGAAACUGAACAGCUAGAGUAUGGUAGGGGCAGAGGGAAUUCCCGGUGUAGCGGUGAAAUGCGCAGAUAUCGGGAGGAACACCAAUGGCGAAGGCAGCUCGCUGGGACGUUACGUGACGCUGAGAC
rnacentral:rRNA from 1 species